GAGCACACAGGUGGAUACCUUGGCACGACAGGCGAUGAAGGACGUAGCAGGCUGCGAAAAGCCUGGGGGAGCUGCCAACAAGCGAUGAUCCCAGGAUAUCCGAAUGGGGCAACCCACGUGGCGUCAUGGUCACGUACUCCGCGAUGAAUACAAUAGUCGCGGUAGAGCAUACCCGGUGAACUGAAACAUCUAAGUAGCCGGAGGAAAAGACAUCAACCGAGAUUCCCGUAGUAGUGGCGAGCGAACCGGGAAGAGCCUAAACCCCGCACGUGUAAGCAUAGCAGCGUUGCGUGAAGGGGGGUUGCACGGCAAUCAGUCGAGGGUGCUAUACCUCGAGGUCAGUAAGAAAUCCGAUCGAAAGACGAAGCCGGCUGGAAAGCCGCACCAAAGACGGUGAUAGUCCCGUAAUCGAAUUCGUUCGGACUGACUCGAUUGUUCGUAAGUAGGGCGGGGCACGAGAAACCCUGUCUGAAUCUGGGAGGACCAUCUUCCAAGGCUAAAUAUUCUGUCGUGACCGAUAGCGCAUAGUACCGUGAGGGAAAGGUGAAAAGAACCCCCGAAGGGGAGUGAAAUAGAACAUGAAACCGUGUGCUUACAAACCGUGAAAGGCCAAUGCGCAAGCAAGGCUAAUCGCGUGCCUAUUGAAGAAUGAACCUGCGAGUUACGUGGUACAGGCUUGGUUAAGGUGAUGAGCCGGAGCCGCAGCGAAAGCGAGUCUGAAUAGGGCAAUUCGUCUGUAUCAGUAGACCCGAAACCAAGCGAUCUAUCCAUGAGCAGGCUGAAGCAUGAUUAAUCUCAUGUGGAGGGCCGAACCUGUUGUUGUUGAAAAAACAUUGGAUGACUUGUGGAUAGGGGUGAAAAGCCAAUCGAGCUUGGAGAUAGCUGGUUCUCCCCGAAAUAGUUUGAGGACUAGCGUUGCGUAUUAAACCUUGGGGGUAGAGCACUGACAGGGCUAGGGGCCUUACCGGGUUACCGAACCCCAUCAAACUCCGAAUACCAGGGCGUAUCGCGCAGCAGUCAGACGGUGGGGGAUAAGCUCCAUCGUCAAAAGGGAAACAGCCCAGAUCAUCAGCUAAGGUCCCUAAUCGAUGCUCAGUGGUAAAGGAAGUCGUUUCGCACAGACAACUAGGAGGUUGGCUUAGAAGCAGCCACCCUUGAAAGAGUGCGUAAUAGCUCACUAGUCGAGUGAGGCGGCGCCGAAAAUGUAACGGGGCUCAAGCAUCGAACCGAAGCUAUGGGAUUACGCAAGUAAUCGGUAGGGGAGCGUUGUCGCGUAGGCUGAAGCCAGACCGUGAGGACUGGUGGACGAACGACAAGUGCGAAUGCAGGUAUAAGUAGCGAGAAAUGCGGGUGAGAACCCCGCACGCCGGAAGUCUAAGGUUUCCUGAGCUACGUCAAUCGUCUCAGGGUGAGUCGGGUCCUAAGCCGAGGCUGAGAAGCGUAGGCGAUGGCCAAGCCGUUCAUAUUCGGCUACCACCGACGUCAGUUUAGACUUUCUCGAACAGCGGCCGGCCACGAGCGAUCGUGGUCGUUUGGUGUUCGUUGAAGUCUAUGAAGUGAAGGGAUGACGCAGGAGGAUAGGUCAGCACACUAUCGGAUGUGUGUCGAAGCAGGUAGGGGGUCAGAUAGGCAAAUCCGUCUGGCAACUCCGAGAUGCGAGUGCGAGGACCCUUGUGGUCCGAAGUGAUUGACUCCACGCUGCCAAGAAAAGUCUCUAGCAAUGACAUAGGUGCCCGUACCGUACACCGACACAGGUAGACUGGCAGAGCAUGCUAAGGCGACGGGAGAACCCCUGUUAAGGAACUCGGCAAAUUAACCCCGUAACUUUGGGAGAAGGGGUGCCCCUUUUGGUCUAGUCUUCACGACGAAAGCUGAGGGGGGUCGCAGUGAAUAGGCCCAAGCGACUGUUUAACAAAAACACAGGUCUCUGCGAACGCGAAAGCGGACGUAUAGGGGCUGACUCCUGCCCGGUGCUGGAAGGUUAAAAGGAGAGGUUAGCGCAAGCGAAGCUUUGAAUUGAAGCCCCAGUAAACGGCGGCGGUAACUAUAACCGUCCUAAGGUAGCGAAAUUCCUUGUCGGGUAAGUUCCGACCUGCACGAAUGGAGUAACGACUUGGGCACUGUCUCGAUGGGGGGCCCGGCGAAAUUGCAGUACCAGUGAAGAUGCUGGUUACCCGCGGCAGGACGGAAAGACCCCAUGAAGCUUUACUGUAUCCUGAUGUUGGGUCUUGAGAUUUUCUGUACAGGAUAGGUGGGAGCCGACGAUCCGCGGGCGCUAGCUCGCGGGGAGGCAACCUUGGGAUACCACCCUGAAAAUCUUGGGAUUCUAACCUACAGCCGUAAUCCGGCUGGGAGACAGCGUCAGGUGGGCAGUUUGACUGGGGCGGUCGCCUCCUAAAGAGUAACGGAGGCGCCCAAAGGUUCCCUCAGAACGGUCAGAAACCGUUCGUUGAGUGCAUAGGCAAAAGGGAGCUUGACUGCGAGACGGACAGGUCGAGCAGGUACGAAAGUAGGGCUAAGUGAUCCGGCGGUACCGAAUGGAAGGGCCGUCGCUUAUCGGAUAAAAGCUACUCUGGGGAUAACAGGCUUAUCUCCCCCAAGAGUCCACAUCGACGGGGAGGUUUGGCACCUCGAUGUCGGAUCGUCGCAUCCUGGGGCUGUAGUAGGUCCCAAGGGUUGGGCUGUUCGCCCAUUAAAGCGGUACGCGAUCUGGGUUCAGAACGUCGUGAGACAGUUCGGUCCCUAUCCGCCGUGGGCGUAGGAGAUUUGAGGAGUGUCGACCCUAGUACGAGAGGACCGGGUUGAACGAACCUCUGGUGAACCGGUUGUCGUGCCAACGGCAUAGCCGGGUAGCUACGUUCGGAUCAGAUAAACGCUGAAAGCAUAUAAGCGUGAAACUGACUUCAAGAUGAGAUCUCAACCUCGAAAGAGUGAAGGGUCGUGGGAGACUACCACGUUGA
rnacentral:rRNA from 1 species